rnacentral:ncRNA from 1 species
AGGCCUGACUGUUUACCAAAAACACAGCCUUCAGCCAGCAACAAGUAUUGAAGGUGAUGCCUGCCCACUGACAAGUAUUGAAGGUGAUGCCUGCCCAACAGCCAUGGUAUCUUAACCGUGCAAAGGUAGCGCAAUCAAUUGGCCUAUAAAUCGGGACUUGUAUGAAUGGUUAAAUGAGGUCU